GAAUAGCAAGGAUAGGAAAUGAUCCUUGUCUGACGGUACCUUACCAGUAAAGCCACGGCUAACUACGUGUCCAGCAGCCGCGGUAAUACGUAGGUGGCAAGCGUUAUCCGGAAUUAUUGGGCGUUAAAGCGCAUGUAGGCGGCUUUUUAAGUCUGGUGUGAAAGCCUGUGGCUCAACCACAGAAUUGCAUUGGAUACUGGAAAGCUAGAAUCUUGGAGAGGUAAGUGGAAUUUCAUGUGUAGCGGUGGAAUGCGUAGAUAUAUGAAGGAACACCAAUGGCGAAGGCAGCUUACUGGACAAGUAUUGACGCUGAGAUGCGAAAGUGUGGGUAGCAAACAGGAUUAGAUACCCUGGUAG
rnacentral:rRNA from 1 species